CCUCCUCCUCUUAGUUCUAUCAAAGGAUGUGGUAUCUUGUGAGGCCAGUCAUUCCCUGGCAGUGUGUGUCUUACUGGGUGUCUGGUUUAUGACUAUUGAGCUAUUGGGACGGGUCUAUCCUGAGUCAGUUGGUAAACUCAAGCACUCAAUAUUCAGCCAGUUGCAAGAUGUGUCUUGAUUGGGAGGAGACUAGGCUUUGAUGAACUAAGGACUUUAGUAGUGGACGGUUAUCUUUAUUAUUAUUAUUAUUAAUUUUUUAGAAUGCCCUUUUGUUAAAAAUAGCUAGCCUAUGCAAACAAAUGGAA